GCGCCUGUAGCGCAACGGAUAGCGCACUAGCCUCCGGAGCUAGUGGUGUGGGUUCGAUUCCCACCAGGCGCA
rnacentral:tRNA from 1 species